GCAACUCGAACGUGGAGGAAUCGCUUCGUGGCACUCUUUGCCCUGCCUACGCGACUGCGUCUUCUGCAGAAUCACCCUCAGAACCUUCUCUUGAUGCUCCAAACGUGACCUGCAAAACACACAGACGGCGCCUCUAGCGGCCGUUUGCACUCCGACGAUCAAGUUAGUCCACAGAACCACCAAAGAUGAGAAAACUAGCAGUGUGUGUGAAAAACUCUUGCUCUCUUUUU
rnacentral:lncRNA from 1 species